UACGUAGGGGGCUAGCGUUGUCCGGAUUUAUUGGGCGUAAAGAGCGUGUAGGCGGCCAGGUAGGUCUGCUGUGAAAACUCGAGGCUCAACCUCGAGACGUCGGCGGAAACCAUCUGGCUAGAGUCCGGAAGAGGAGAGUGGAAUUCCCGGUGUAGCGGUGAAAUGCGCAGAUAUCAGGAAGAACACCCGUGGCGAAGGCGGCUCUCUGGGACGGUACUGACGCUGAGACGCGAAAGCGUGGGGAGCGAACAGG
rnacentral:rRNA from 1 species